GCUAGUUAUUGGAUAAUAAGCUUUAACACUAAUAUCUGAUCUGACUGUACAGUUAAAGUGUUUGAAGUACAGUCAGUGGGAGUCUGUGUGUUAGUGCAUAUUUAGCCUGAGGAAUAAUGCAGCUUCUGUGAGUGUGAGACUCGUGCAGGACUCAGGCAUGCACUGGUAGGACUAGUGUACGGGGCUCGGGGGCUGGAGCUGACAGCAAGCUAAGACAUGAACAGGAUUCUGCACUUACAGAUCAGUCCGCUCCAUACUCCUCUGUUUUCUCCCUCCCUCCCUCCUCUCUCUCCUCAUCCUCGGGGUUUAGGAAUCUGUUCUGCUGGCUCCGGCCCAAAGGAGCCAGAUGUGGAGAGAAACGUGGCCAAAGAGAAAGAGAGAGAGAUAGAGGAUGAGUGGAAGACCAGAUACUGGAGUGAAGGAGGAGAGGGACGGAAAAAAAGUGAUAAAUGGAUCACACUUUACAGCAUGCUGAUCUUUCUUCCACCGUCUGCUCGGCAGCAGUGCGCUGGUAUGAAGGUGUUCUCCAGUAGAAGAAGCAGGACCGAGGCCUACUUAUAAUAUAAAAGUCUCGCCUUUCAACAAAGAGCCAAUCAGCUUGCUGGUAAAACUGCAAGAUGACAUGGGUCACUGUGGACGUUGUGGGGAAAGGCCCUAAAGGAAACACUUGUGGUUAUGGAUCAUCAUGUCAAUCAACUGUGGACCUUCAAAAGUGGCAAUGGGAAUCAGCAAAAAGUGCAACUCGCUGGCUAACAGCAGAACUGAGCUUUUAGGAUGAGCAGACAGACUUAUGUUUUGUUCUAUAUCUUUUAAGUAUAGUUCCACUUAGUUAAG
rnacentral:lncRNA from 1 species